rnacentral:misc_RNA from 1 species
CAGUGUUCCGGGCUUGCAAACACAAUGGAUGUUCAAGUUUUGAGAUUUGAUCAUGUCUCCAAAACUUCCAUUCUAAGGCCCUAGUUUGCGGAGGCCACUCCAAGUAAUCACCCCUAUUCUUUCUGUUAUUAUACUGGGUGACUGAAAAAUGUGAUGAGAAACCUUUAUCUGACAUUUUUUUAAUCCAAUUAAAUUUCACUUUUUGAUACCAUUCAUUCCUUCAGAUUUUUGUUCUAUUAUUUUCUCCUGCCACUUCUGGUCCUCCUUUUUUUUUUUAAAUUUUUUUCCUUUUUGUACUUAUGUAAGGGUUUUUUAUGCUGCAUGCCAGAUUGGGUUUUAUUGAUUGUGCUGAUUUUUGUUCGCUGCUUCGUUUUGGGUUUCAGGUUUUAAACGGUUUAAACGCAU